rnacentral:rRNA from 1 species
CACUUCUAAGGAAGGCAGCAGGCGCGCAAAUUACCCAAUCCUGACUCAGGGAGGUAGUGACAAGAAAUAACAAUAAACCGGCUUAUGCCGGUUUAAUUGGAAUGAGUACAAUUUAAACAUCUUAACGAGGAACAAUUGGAGGGCAAGUCUGGUGCCAGCAGCCGCGGUAAUUCCAGCUCCAAUAGCGUAUACUAAAGUUGUUGCAGUUAAAAAGCUCGUAGUUGGAUUUCUGUGGGGACGGAGCGGCCGGCCGCACAUCGCGGUUCGAGCUAGCGCUUUCCCUACAUCCUGCCGCGAACCGUGCUACCAUUAAUUUGGUGGCGCCGGGGAUCGGCUCGAUUACUUUGAGAAAAAUAGAGUGUUCAAAGCAGGCCACAUGCCUUGAAUAAGUUAGCAUGGAAUAAUAACUAAGGACUUCGGUUCUAUUUUGUUGGUGUUCGGGACUGAAGUAAUGAUUGAUAGGGACAGUUGGGGCGGUCUGUAUUCCAAAGCGAGAGGUGAAAUUCUUAGACCUUCGGAAGACAAACAGCUGCGAAAGCGUUCCGCAAGGAUGUUCCCUUUGAUCAAGAACGAAAGUUGGGGGAUCGAAGACGAUCAGAUACCGUCGUAGUCUCAACUAUAAACUAUACCAGCUAGGGAUCGGCCAACGUUAUUUCAUACCGACUUGGUCGGCACCUUAUGAGAAAUCAAAGCAUCUGGGUUCCGGGGGGAGUAUGGUCGCAAGGCUGAAACUUAAAGGAAUUGACGGAAGGGCACCACCAGCCGUGGAGCCUGUGGCUUAAUUUGACUCAACACGGGAAAACUUACCAGGUCCAGACAUAGUAAGGAUUGACAGAUUGAUAGCUCUUUCUUGAUUCUGUGGGUGGUGGUGCAUGGCCGUUCUUAGUUGGUGGAGUGAUUUGUCUGGUUAAUUCCGUUAACGAACGAGACCCCAGCCUGCUAAAUAGCGCGCGUGAGCUUUGCUCGCGGCGAGCUUCUUAGAGGGACUCUGAUGCGCGAUAGCACAUGGAAGUUUGGGGCAAUAACAGGUCUGUGAUGCCCUUAGAUGUUCUGGGCCGCACACGGGCUACACUGGCGCCUGCAACGAGCAUAUCAGCUGGCCCGAGAGGGUCUUGGCUAAUCUUUUGAACCGGCGCCGUGCUUGGGAUUGACCUUUGCAAUUGUUGGUCAUGCAACGAGGAAUGCCUUGUAAACGCGAGUCAUCAGCUCGCAUUGAAUACGUCCCUGCCCUUUGUACACACCGCCCGUCGCUCCUACCGAUGAAUGUUCCGAUGAAAUUUUCGGAGAGCACCUGUGAACUUGGCUCUGCCUUGCGAACGGGAGGCUCAAAGUCACUUAAAUCUGAACAUUUC